UAAUCUCUUCUUUCCCCAGUCCUCUCUCUCCCUCCCGGUCUCUGCUCCAUCUCUCUCAUUCUCCUCCCUCUAUCUCCAAUGCAUCAGCCACGUCGUGAAGCUCUUCUAUCUCUCUCCAUUGCAGAGGGACGGAGAUGGAUUCAUGAUGAUGUCUGCAUGGAUCGGUUCAGCAAUCACGGGCUGCAAAUGUGGUCACUGGAGAUGAGAGACAGAGAAGACGAGGGUUUGGGUUGCACCAAAUCUACUGGAAACAAUGGCUGUCAGCAAAGUCGGGGAGUUUUUUUUAUUUUCUUAACAGGGGGUGAUGCUGGCCGUGGACCCUGGUGGAUUCGGGCAGUGCUAGUGUAUUCCGGUGCUGCAGAUGAAGAUGACGGUGAUGAACCACCUCUGGUGAGAUUGAUGUGGUAAUUUUGAUGGCACAUUUUAGUAAAUGCUAAUGCUGUACAAAGAUCGACUCAUUUUUAUGGCUUGUCCCAAAAUUUCGGCACUUGCAUGUAAGUUCAUCUCCGGCUCAGUUAUAUCUAAUGGAUGCAAACAUUAAGAUUUCAGUACUUUUGUUUGUUGAGAUUAUUUGUUGUUUAUGUUACUAUUGAUAUUGUUGUAGUUGAGCUAUAAGAGAAUUUUUUGACAUUAAAGAUGAUUUUGUUGAGAGUCAUUUGAUAGCACAUCAUCAAAGCGAUUGGUUAGAUGAUGAUUUGUUUUCAUUUAGUAUGAUCAUGGUUCAUAAUAUCCGUAUCGUAUUGGUCAAUGCAGCUACAUCAGAUCUGUGUCGGCCUGAUACAAUGAUUGUAUCAAGCCAAUAUAGCCAUAAUGGCCAGAAUUUUCUUUUCCUUUAAAAAAAAAAAAUUAUUCCAACCAUGAAGGAAACUUAGAAAGACAUUUUAGACUAGGCCUGCACCUAUUUUGGGGAUCAAAACAAAAGAUUUUAGUGCAAUUUGAUGAGUCCAGUCGGUGGGCUAUUGCAGGAAAAAUUGGCAAAGGGUAAAUCAAUACAUUUUUUUUUUCGUGUUUACAUCUUUUGUUUCUUGUAUUUCAAUGUAAUGGAACUUGAUCCAUGAAAUCAAGCUUAUUUGUGUCUAAGUAAGGUCCAUUUAAUUGACAUUUAGCUAGUCAGGCCGACAGAUGAUUUUCUUAUCAAAGAAUGAUCUGAUACACUAUUAUAUACAUACAAGACAAAAUGAUAAAUUCUUGAAUUUCCUUUUUCUUCCACUUGUAUUUUACACUAUUUUUUUUGGUUUUUAUUUUAUUUUAUUUUAUUAUUAUUAUUAUUAUUUACUGACACAGUCUAAUACAGUCUGCUAGGGGUUGACAUAGAUAUGAUAUGCCUGUGUUGUGUCAGUUUUCGGCCAGUCCGAUAUGCCCUAUGAUGCCGAUACUCAGUACCAUGAACAUAAGAAGGGGAUUCUGUCUAUGCUUAGCCAUGUAGAGAAAUUGAGUAGGAGCUAGUAGAGUGGUUGCAAAGAUUAUUUGUUUAUUUCUCUGAUGAAUUUAUGAAAUUAGUUUUUCUUUUAUUGUAGAAGAUUUUCUUUUUGCUUUAUUUUCAGAACAAUUGAUAACUAAUAUAUUAUAGUGAAAGGGUGUUUGGGUGCUUUUAAGCAUGUUAUAUGUGAAGUUUGAUAGGAAAAAAAGAUCUUCUAUUGGUAAAAUCCUAAGCAGGCUGACAUUAGAUUAUGAGAGUUGUUUAUGCAUUCUGGCAUGCUUGGGCUCAGUUUUUCCCAAACCCCUUGACAAGUUAGGCAUAAUGUGGCAUUGUGAAUGAAGCAUGUGAGCCUGAUGCUUAUCAUGGUGUUGAGCAAUUGUUUCCAACACAGGCCAAGGCGCAGAGUUAUCCCUUCGAGGCAUUGAUCCUUUCGAGUCCAUUGCAAUGUGGCUCCUGAGAUUUUCAUUUGACUUCUUUGGUUCCAGAUAUCCCUUCCAGUUUCGUUACUACCCUAAUCUAACAGUCGAACCUUUUUCUUGAAUGCGUGUCAUGUUUUGUACUUUAAUGGAGUGGUUUCUAAUGGUGGCGCUUUUUUCUGUUGUGGAGUUCAGUAGAAUGGAUGGCAGGACAACACUCUUUUCUUGUGUUAGUUUUUGUUAUUCAUCAUCUAUGUUUUCAGCAUUAUAAGAUUUUAGUAACAGUGGAGAAAUGCCUUUCUUGAUC